AACUCAAUGGUGAUUAUCAAGCCUGAAACUAUACCGUGCAAAUGCCUAAGGGAGACAUAAUCCUUUAUUUAUCGGUUGUCAUGCUACAGAAUUGCUCAGUUACUUUCUCCUUGCCCGUUUCAUUUUUUGCUUCCCCCGUUUAACUCUUCUCACGUUGUCAUUUUUCCUUCAGUGCUCCAAGGACGCGGGGAACAGCUCUGCAGCUCAUCUCUGGAGGAAUCUUGCUUCCGAACCGCCAAUGGACACGAAAGAGAAUUCAGAAACAGAGAGAGAAGUCGAGGAGAUGCGCUCAGCCUGGGAGGAAUAAGAGUAGGAGAGCUCAUUCUGCUCGACACGAAAUCCCACUGAGAGGGGUUUCACGGCCCUGACGAGUUUGGUUGCGCUUUGUGGAUAAGCUGGAGGACAAGCUCUGCAUUCUCAUCAGCAUUUCUGGGAAAACAUCUUGGUAGGAUUUAAUGAGAUAAACUUUUGUGUUAUUUCCCUGAUGAGAGCACAGCAUAUGUUUGGGUUUAAAAUGCCUUUUAAAAAAAAGUCAAAUUCCUGAGAUUAGAUAUAAACAUGUAGGAGUAUAUAUACAUACACGUGUGUGUGUGUGUGUGUAUGAGACCUGAAUUUCAGGUCUGCUUGCUGAUGAGCUUCCCGGGGAAGUCUCCAGCAGAUAUUUUUCUCUCCUUUAACCAUUUUCCCUUCUCCUUUCAAAAACAUACUCGUUGAAUCAGUUGAAAUAAUUGAUUGCAUCUUUGUGUAGAUGUCCCGCUGAGAGAAAGGUGAGAGUCGGUGGGCACCGGGAGACUGAUUUUUAGCGACCCGACGCACCAAAGGCCGUGGGAGUUCCUCACUUCCCUCGGCGUCUCGGUUCGAGCGGGCGCUGACGCAAUGGCUCAGGGAAAGGCCACUACAAAGAAAGAACGGUGCUGACUUAAAAAUAAGUGAGUCAUCGGUCCUUUCUUCCUUG
rnacentral:lncRNA from 1 species